CUCAGUCUGACAUUUUGUUUUAUACACAUGCACAUACAAAUCUACACAGACGAAUGCUUACAGACAGAAAAUGCAGGCACCAUCUCUCUCUCCCCCCCCAAAAAAUGUGGAAUUCAAGCAACCAUUCAACAGAGACAGGCAAUUGUUUUACAAGUGGAAGUGUCUGCGUGAUUGUGGGUCCUGCACUCCCACUCUGCUCCACCAUGGCUCCUCCCUGGAGAACACAAGACUGGAAUCAGCUGAAGAAUUAGCUGAAAGUCACAAAAGAGCUGGGAUAAAAAGAGCAGCUGGAUGAAUCCUGAGACAGCUAACCUGAGUAACACCACAAGACUGAGGCCACAGAUGUACUGCCAAAACACCUGCUUAUGAAGAAACCCAUCAUGCUCUAAGAAGACUUCCUCUACUGUAGGAGAGAUCAAGUAUUUCCCCGUUUUGCCAUCUUGAAGGGCAAAAUUCAGGUCAGACAGAACUGGAUUUUCAGCCUUACACAUUUCUGGAAACAAUUGCCAUAAAGAUCUAUUAAACAUUGUCCAAUGCAUAAUAAAAUAAGAACAGCCAGAAGAGCGAGGAUCCUAAAGCCACAUUUCACAACCAACCCGUCCCAGGCAACUAAGAGAACCUGCAAUAACAAGAAUGUAUAAGUUCAUCCUGAGCAUUCUCAUCAAAGAAGCAACAUGGAUCAAGUUUUCUUCUGAUUCUACAUCCACGUUUUGGAGGUUUGGGGUCAAUUUUACAUCAAACAAAUCACCAUCAAGGUCCGCCAUAUCAUUUUCAAAUGCAAGCCAGAGCUUAAACCAUUGAACUUCACAGCGGCCUGUAGCUGACACGUCAACAACUCAGUGGGCACACAAAAUCAUGGGCUCUAACAAGCCUGGACAUGCAUACGUUCCCUCCCAUCCGUUCCAAACAUGCAUGCGCAUGCCCAGAAUUGUGGCUCUGACAUGUCUAGGCAUAUCAAUAAUAAAUAUCACUGUUGAAUACUU